AUUGAACGCUGGCGGCAGGCCUAACACAUGCAAGUCGAGCGGAUGAAGGGAGCUUGCUCCUGGAUUCAGCGGCGGACGGGUGAGUAAUGCCUAGGAAUCUGCCUGGUAGUGGGGGAUAACGUCCGGAAACGGGCGCUAAUACCGCAUACGUCCUGAGGGAGAAAGUGGGGGAUCUUCGGACCUCACGCUAUCAGAUGAGCCUAGGUCGGAUUAGCUAGUUGGUGGGGUAAAGGCCUACCAAGGCGACUAUCCGUAACUGGUCUGAGAGGAUGAUCAGUCACACUUGAACUGAGACACGGUCCAGACCCCUACGGGCGGCAGCAGUGGGGAAUAUUGGACAAUGGGCGAAAGCCUGAUCCAGCCACGCCGCGUGUGUGAAGAAGGUCUUCGGAUUGUAAAGCACUUUAAGUUGGGAGGAAGGGCAGUAAGUUAAUACCUAGCUGUUUUGACGUUCCAACAGAAUAAGCACCGGCUAACUUCGUG
rnacentral:rRNA from 1 species